GUGGGUCUCUUGAAGAUAGCAUAUAUAUGGGUCUUGUUUUUGUAUCCAUUCAGCGAGUCUAUGUCUUUUGGUUGGAGCAUUUAAUCCAUUAACAUUUAAGGUAAUUAUUGAUAUGUAUGUUCUUAUUGACAUUUUAUUAAUUGCUUUGGAUUUGUUUUUGUUGCUCUUUUUUCUUCCCUUCUUCUCUUGUUCUCUCCUCUUGUAGUGUGAUGACUAUCUUUAGUGUUGUAUUUGAGUUGAGUUUUCUUAUUUGUGUAUCAAUUAUUUUUGGUUUGCAGUUAUUCUGAUGUUUUGAUAUGAGUCUAUAUAUAUAUAUGAAUUUGUUUUAAGUUGUUGGUCUCUUAAUUGCAAGUGCAUCUCCAGUGUCCUGCAUUUGUACCCUCCUCUUCUCACGAUUUCUGAUUUUGGUGGCAUAAUUGUGUGUGGAUUAUUUCAUAUCUUUACUGUAUGUAUACCUUACUGGUGAACCGUGUAACUAUGAUUUUUAAUCGGAGACAAUUCAAGAUUGCUUAUAUGAUUGGGACUCACAUAUCUGUGCUCCUACAACCAUGGAACUUCUUAAGAUGGGCAUUUAGGAUCAUGAUACUGGUUUAUCAAAGAGCAAGCAAAGACUUCAAUUUCUUAAAAUGCAGUUAUACUUGUUAUUCAGACCUUUCAACAUUGAUAUGCAACAGUUAAAUAAAUAUAUCUUGAUGCUUAAAAGGCUUUUUAAAAAAUUAGUCUACAAAAGCAAUUUAGUUUUACUAAGUUUAUAAAACUCUCUAGUGUUUUGGGUUGUUCUCUUUUCUUGUUGUGUUUUCUGGACUGAAUAAGGAUCCUCUUCUAUUAUCCUAUCCAGAAGACUCUCUGUAGGGCUUCUCAGUGGAUGAGUUAUUGAGACUUGAAAGAGCAAAGGAAAGAUCAAGGGAGAGAGUUCCAGAGUCAUUUCUGGGGCACAAGUACAUGCUGAUGUCUCUAUACUCAGUUCAUCCCCACCAUCCCACCCCAUCCAGUGCCAAAGAAAAUGUUAUAUGUUUAUGAUGACAUGGUGGCAUUACCUAGAUUUUUCCUACCAGUCAAGUUUCAGAAAGAAUUAGUAGAUACCAUUUUAUUUAGUUAGGGGUAUUCUUUUUGAUGAGAACUUAUCAAGUUGGGAUCAAAGAAAUAAGCUUUAUAUAAGAUUAUUAGUAGUCCUGCUGAAAUUACAUGCUGUGUAUUGUGUGUAUAUUCUUUUUUACUAUGGAGAUCUUCAAUGGUUUUAUCAAUUUUUAAAUUAUCUUGAAGACAAAAGCUUUUAUCUAGCAUGGCUCUAUUAAUUAAAAACAGAUGUGAUUAAAGUGAAAAAUUUUGAAGGAUGUGUGGGGGUUUUAUAUAUACAUUUUUAUUAAUAUUUCAGGUGGUAUUGGCUGUGAAAUUUGCACCCUUGUGACUCUUUUUUAAUUAUAAAUGUUUUUAGGGGAAUAAAAACUUUUCAAAAGAGUUUUUUUUUUUUUUUUUGGUACUUUUCCUUUCGUCAUUCCCUAAAACCUGAAAAAAUUAGAACCGUUCUUACUGAAAAUAAAAAAUGUAUAAAACUCCAUUCAUGUUUAUUUUAUAGUCAUUUUACACACCCUUACAUAGACUUCUAGUUAUUCCAUGACUAAGUGUACAUUUUUAAAAGAUACCUAUUAUUUUUUAUGUAUUCUGCCAAUAUUGGAACCUGUUGUAUGAAUAUUGAUCCCUGUUGCUUCCAGGGUUGUUUUUUUUUUUUUUUUUUUUUUUUUUNNNNNNNNNNNUUUUUCUAGGGCUAUAUGGCAUAUGGAGGUUCCCAGGCUAGGGGUCUAAUCGGAGCUGUAGCCACCGGCCUAUGCCAGAGACACAGCAACGCGGGAUCUGAGCCGCGCCUGCAACCUACACCACAGCUCACAGCAACGUCGGAUCCUUAACCCACUGAGCAAUGCCAGGGAUUGAACCCACAACCUCAUGUUUCCUAGUCAGAUUUGUUAACCACUGAGCUACGAUGGGAACUCCGAUUUUUGUUUGUUUUUGAUCACAGCUAUAAGUAGAAAACCUAAUUCUGACCUGGUCAUAAUUUUUCUUUACCUUAGUUGGAAACUCUGUAAAGUAUUUGCUCUGCCUCCUGCAUAAUAUCUCUAUCCCUGAUCAUGUGGACAUUUCCUCCCAUCUCCAUUUACUCAUAAAGAUAUUAAUUCUUUGGUGUUCCAGAGACUUAUUUUAUUUUUGCUGAAUACUAUUACCAGAUUCUCAGUUAGCCUGUGUCCAUAUCAACUGAAUAACUACUUUUCUAUUUUUCAUUAAAUAUAUGAGUUUUAAAGGCAUAGCCCAGAUAUUUUGAUAAUUUUGGUGGUGAGGGAAAGGAGAGGUUAUCCUGGUUUCUAAUGAGCCUGAGAAGGAUUCCCAUGCCAGCUCAUGUGCAUCCCUUUUUGAUGGUGAAUGCGUUUUCCCCCUAGAAGAUAUCUGAAGCCCAAGAGCUAUAGUCGUUGCACCAGAAGUAUUUUUUUGCAAUUUUUUUCUUCUCUUAGUGAAUCAAUUUUCCAGAAGAAAAAGUUGAAAUUUGAUAAGAUCAAUGUGGAAAGCCAAAAGUUGCUCUGAGUUAUGAUGUUAUUUCUCAGCCAGAUGCUUGUCUCUUCUGCCCAGCUGCAGAAUUUCUCUGUACACAGGGGUCUCUUUAGUGCCAAGGGGGAUAAGCGAAAAGAGAUGAAAAUAUAUCUGCUGUUGCAUCGAUGACCCCACUCGCACUGUUUCCUGCAGCGAGUUUUCCUUAGAAUCCUCAGAGGAAUGCUUUGCCUAACCACCCAUCCCAGCAUUUAGGAUUUACUUUAAAGAUGGUCAGUUAAUAUUUCUUGAACAUAAACCUUUGGCCAGAGUAACUGGAAAUUUGAGUUUAUUAAACUUUUACAUACUUAACUAGGGUCUACAGGGUAUUUUAAAUUCAGUCAUUUGGCUUCAGCUCUACUUUCUUACCCCCCAAAAUAUACAGUGUGAAAUGUAUGAGAAUUGGAUAAUGUAUUUUUUCCAGGUCCUCAGUAUCUUAUUUCUUCCAGAUAAUAGAGAAAAAAUAUACAGCCUUGCCAUGAAUAAACACACUAGACAUAGCUUGAAUUUCUAGGAAAAUUAAACAGAAGUGGUAAUGAGUUGGAACCAAGGCCCUUAAAUACCAUAUAUGUGUGUGUGUGUGUGUGUGUGUGUGUGUGUGUGUGUACAUGCGCGUGUGUGUGUGUGCACUCGCGUGUGUGUGUGUGUGUGUGUGUGUGGAUGUGCGAAAACCUCCUUGAGAAAGAGACAAAACAUAAUGGAAUAGUUAAAUGACUUACGAGACACCAUGCUAUGGAACAUUAGGUAACUAACUUAAAAAAAACUGUAGUGGUACUGACUUGGGAGGUUUUCCAUAACGUAUUUUGGGGGAAAAAGUUAAAUAAAUCAAAAUCUAGUGUAAUAUAUAUGGUAGGAUCUCUUUUCUCACAGGAAAAAAUAAAUCUGUAUUAAUCAUUUUUAGCACACAUAUGUAUAUACAGAAAUAUAAUUUUAGUCCAUUUGUUUUACAAAAACAAGUCCGCAUAAUGUUCAUGCAGUGAAAAUGUCUUGAAAACACACACGUUAGUAAUUAUAUCAGGGAAAAUGAAUGACUAAGAAAGGAAAGAGGCCAUCUUGUUUUAUGCUUUACAUACUUCUGUAAUACUAGAUUUUUUUAACCUCAAGAAAGUGUUAUUUUUAUGAUUUAAAACAGUCAGGUAUGAUAUUUAUUGAAUAGUUGUUCAAAUGUUUGUUUUGUGUGGCCUGCUAUUUGGCGGCAUUCUCUAUAGCAAUAUUUACUGGAAUGUCUCAAGUAAGUUUUUCAACAGAAAUGAAUGAAAUAAUAUUGGGUUUGUGGUAUAUUCUUAGAUUAUAUAAAGCUUUAUUCUGUUAAGAAUCUAUGUUGUAUUUUUCUCUUCCUAUUUCACAGCAAUAAGAGUGACCCCUUUUGUUCUUUUACCUGCCCAUUAGAGUCCUAGAGACAUUCCUUCCCAUCAAUCUGUACCUAGUCCGUUGACAAUUUUGCCACCAAAGUGUUGUUUAUGAACUUAUCAAAGCCUGACUUGAAUGUCCCUAGCAGGACUCUGAACCACCCCUUAGAGGAAGUGAUCUGGAAGUAACACUACUUAUUGUUCAUCUUGGUUACUGUGUCUCUUUCACCAGCCUUCUUUCAAGUUAAGCUAAACUAAAAUACUCGCAGAAAUUGAUUUGUUUUCCAUGCAAGGCAAUCUUUCAACAUGGUCUAAAUCCCACUUAUUGGCCCUGUACUUUCUACUGGGGACUGAGCUUGAAAUAGAAUCAAUAUUCAUAUGUAACUUACUUUUUUAGUAUAAGAAAUAUGCAUUUGUAUGUAUUCUUGGUGGAGUAGAUGGUACUCAUGCAUUGGUUUUAAAUACAGUUUACCUACUAUGUUUGG
rnacentral:lncRNA from 1 species